rnacentral:lncRNA from 1 species
CCUUGUCCCCAGUGUCCCCUCUCAGUCCCCAGUGUCCCCUCACAGUGCUGGCUGUCCCCACAUUGUCCCCUCACCUUGUCCCCACGUGUCCCUUCACCUUGUCCCUUGUCCCCUCACCUGUCCCCACGUGUCCCCUCACCUUGUCCCCUGUGUCCCCUCACCUUGUCCCUUGUCCCCUCACCUUGUCCCCUGUGUCCCCUCACCUUGUCCCUUGUCCCCUCACCUUGUCCCCUGUGUCCCCUCCCAGUCCUCUGCCGCCUCUUCACCGUGGGCCACCUCAUGCAGCCGGUGGCCAAGACGGUCAUCGUGGAGGUCAAGACGCCCGACAACGUCAUCAUCAAACAAGUCCCGGUGUCGUCCCCGACCAAGAACGGGAUCCUGUCCCUCACCCACAACCUGCCCGAGGUCGUCAGCCUGGGCAUGUGGACGAUCUCGGCCAAGUUCGAGGAUGCUCCGGACCAGGAUUUCAGCACCCACUUCGAGGUCAAGGAAUACGUGCUGCCGAGCUUUGAGGUGUCCCUGGUUCCCGAGGAGAAGUUCCUGUACCUCGACCGCCAGGCGGAUUUCAGGGUGUCCAUCCUGGCCAGGUGACACCAAAAUGUCCCUUGGGGGGGCAAAAGUGUCCCCUCUGGGGUCACAGCUGGGCGGGGGACAGGGGACAGCUGGGCUGGGCUGCUGUCCCUGGGUGUGGCACCGGGAGGGGGAGGGGGACACGGGGUGACAUGGGGGGACAGUGGGGGUGGUGGUAGGGGGGGGAUGAGAGAGGGGUGACAGGAUGGGGACAUGGGGACAUUGGUGGUGGCAGGGAGGGGAUGACAGAGGGGUGGCAGGAUGGGGACAUGGGGACAUUGGUGGUGACAGGGAUGAGAUGACAGAGACAGCGUGACAGGAUGGGGACAUGGGGACAUUGGAGGUGGCAGG